rnacentral:rRNA from 1 species
UGGGGAAUAUUGGACAAUGGGCGAAAGCCUGAUCCAGCCAUGCCGCGUGUGUGAAGAAGGUCUUCGGAUUGUAAAGCACUUUAAGUUGGGAGGAAGGGUUGUAGAUUAAUACUCUGCAAUUUUGACGUUACCGACAGAAUAAGCACCGGCUAACUCUGUGCCAGCAGCCGCGGUAAUACAGAGGGUGCAAGCGUUAAUCGGAAUUACUGGGCGUAAAGCGCGCGUAGGUGGUUAGUUAAGUUGGAUGUGAAAUCCCCGGGCUCAACCUGGGAACUGCAUUCAAAACUGACUGACUAGAGUAUGGUAGAGGGUGGUGGAAUUUCCUGUGUAGCGGUGAAAUGCGUAGAUAUAGGAAGGAACACCAGUGGCGAAGGCGACCACCUGGACUGAUCCUGACACUGAGGUGCGAAAGCGUGGGGAGCAAACAGG